rnacentral:rRNA from 1 species
GAUGAACGCUGGCGGCGUGCUUAACACAUGCAAGUCGAACGAUGAAGCCCACUUGUGGGUGGAUUAGUGGCGAACGGGUGAGUAACACGUGAGUAACCUGCCCUUGACUCUGGGAUAAGCCUGGGAAACUGGGUCUAAUACCGGAUAUGACCUUCCAUCGCAUGGCGGUUGGUGGAAAGCUUUUGUGGUUUUGGAUGGACUCGCGGCCUAUCAGCUUGUUGGUGGGGUAAUGGCCUACCAAGGCGACGACGGGUAGCCGGCCUGAGAGGGUGACCGGCCACACUGGGACUGAGACACGGCCCAGACUCCUACGGGAGGCAGCAGUGGGGAAUAUUGCACAAUGGGCGCAAGCCUGAUGCAGCGACGCCGCGUGAGGGAUGACGGCCUUCGGGUUGUAAACCUCUUUCAGUAGGGAAGAAGCGUAAGUGACGGUACCUGCAGAAGAAGCGCCGGCUAACUACGUGCCAGCCGCCGCCGUAACAC